rnacentral:misc_RNA from 1 species
GAUGAAGAACGUAGCGAAAUGCGAUAAGUAAUGUGAAUUGCAGAAUUCAGUGAAUCAUCGAAUCUUUGAACGCACAUUGCGCCCCUUGGUAUUCCGAGGGGCAUGCCUGUUCGAGCGUCAUUAUAACCCUCAAGCUCAGCUUGGUGUUGGGGCCUGCUGCACUGGCAGCCCUUAAAAUUAGUGGCGGCGCCAUCUGGCUCUAAGCGUAGUAAUUCUUCUCGCUAUGGAGUCCUGGUGGAUGCUUGCCAUCAACCCCCAAUUUUUCUAUGGUUGACCUCGGAUCAGGUAGGGAUACCCGCUGAACUUAAGCAUAUCAAUAAGCGGAGGA